rnacentral:snoRNA from 1 species
CCAAUGUGGAUACCCCAGGAAGUCACUCUCCCUGGGCUCUGUCCAGGUGGCCCAGGGGAGCACAGGACUCUGCCCAGUGAUGUACGGUCCCAUUCCAUGAUGUUGGAGAGGAAGCUGGGCUCAGGCCUGCACCUGCAUAUUCUUACAGCUUCUCAGUCCUAUGGACAAUGCCUGAAGAGACAAAGCAUGCAGGAAAUAUAU